UCAAAUUCCGCAGCGCUUUACAAUGGGUGGACGAACAGACAUGUAGUUGUAACCAGACAAGUUGGACACACAGGAACAGAGGGGUUGAGGGCCCUGCUCAAUGAGCUUACAUGCUAGAGGGAGUGGGGUAAAAUGACACAAAAAGGUAAGGAUAGUAUUAGACUAGUGACAGUUGCAGAAGAGUAAUCAGUCAGGAGCUAUUAACAGUUUAAUUGAUACGCUUUUAUGAAGAAGUGGGUUUUUAACGAUUUUUUGAAGGAGUGGAGACUGGGUGAGCAUCUAACAGAGGAGGGAAGCGAGUUCCACAGGAACUGUGCAGCCCUCGAGAAAUAUUGAAGGCGAGCAUCAGAGGUGGGAGUACGGACAGAAGAUAGACGUAAGUCUUCA